CCGGACAGCUGAUGUAAACUGCGCAGUGACAUACACUGUGCAGAGACGUACACCUAGCAGUGACGUACACCGCGCAGUGACCUAAACUGCGCAGUGACGUAACCGCACAGUGACCUAAACCGCGCAGUGACGCAAACCGGGCAGCUGUCGUAAGCCGCGCAGUGACGUACACCGUAAAAACGGGGCACCAGCGGCACGUAAAAGCUCCCUCCCGGAGCCCCUGGCGCUGUGGAGGGAAGGCGCGAGGCGGGAGCGUGUGUGUGAGCUUCAACCGGCUUCGUUGAAGCCUCUGCUUAGACCCGCGGCCUGCGCCUCAGGUAUGGCUUAGGUCACCUUUACCGUGGACUCAUCCGUAAGAUCCAGCUUAACAACUUUCUAAAGACAGCGGGGAUCCAGCCUCCAUUUUGGAUGGAAUCUUUCUGUGGUAAUUGGAAAGAGGAAAGUGAAGGAAAUAAAACUCAGCACAAAAUAGAGCGGGCACUUGAAGUGGCAACUGCUGGGAAGUACAAAGAGGAGACACACAACAGAAAGACAAGAUGACUUGUGUGCCCACUGAAGGCAGUCAUUCAGAAACAUUAGUCUAUGAGUUUGGUUUCUGCAAAACACAUGCUGAGUCACUUUCUUGCGGCUGUUGAUAUUCAAAAUUGUCCUGUCAUCACCUAGGUCUUUGCUGUUGUUGUUCGGUUCACCCAAGGAGAAAAAAAUUGAAUUGAGCAACGGAAGAUAUACAGACAAUAAGAUAAAUCAAAUAAACACCCCCUCUCCCUGACACACUCCAAGGUGAAAAGGAAAGAGAAGAAUUCAAAUAAAACCUUCUAAGAAUAAUGACUCAUUCAUAGUAAAUGUCAUAUCCCUUAUCUAGAAUCUGUGAUGUCAUCAUUAUUAUUUACUUAACAUUCUAGACUGUGCAACUCGUACUGUUUGUUGAUAGUGCAUCAAAGGGCAGGGAGCCUCAGGGCUGUUGUUAUAUGUCAGUAUAUCCUGACAGUAUGGUUAUUUAUUUAUGCACAAAUAAAUGAGCUUUUUAUAUGGUGUGUUGAAUGGUAAGUGCUGGGGAGGAAAAAGUGAAGGAGAAGAGGUAAUCUUGAUGAGUAGGCAACCUUGGACAAUCAUAGGAACAUCCUAUUUUAAAUACACUUCCCAGGUUUCCAAGUUAUAUCCUAAAUACCCUAUAUGGAGCAGAUGUGGGCAAAACCAUUAACACUAAGAAAAUGGGCUCACAACCAUGAAG